rnacentral:rRNA from 1 species
ACUGGCAAGCUAGAGUCUUGUAGAGGGGGGUCGAAUUCCUUGUGUAUCGGUGAAAUGCGUAGAGAUCUGGAGGAAUUCCUGUGGCGAAGGCGCCCGCCUGGACAAAGACUGACGCUCAGGUGCGAAAGCGUGGGGAGCAAACAGGAUUAGAUACCCUGGUAGUCCACGCUGUAAACGAUGUCGAUUUGGAGGUUGUGCCCUUGAGGCGUGGCUUCCGGAGCUAACGCGUUAAAUCGACCGCCUGGGGAGUACGGCCGCAAGGUUAAAACUCAAAUGAAUUGACGGGGGCCCGCACAAGCGGUGGAGCAUGUGGUUUAAUUCGAUGCAACGCGAAGAACCUUACCUACUCUUGACAUCCAGAGUAUUCGCUAGAGAUAGCUUAGUGCCUUCGGGAAUUCUAGACCAGGUGCUGC